rnacentral:tRNA from 1 species
ACUCUAAAAGCUUACUAGCAACUCACUUACACUGAGUAGACCUCAAUAAA